AUAACAGUUAGAAAUGACUGUUAAUGCCGCAUAAGUCCACAGCACCGCAUGGUGCGGGGGUAAAAACUCCGGUGGUAUGAGAUGGACCCGCGUCUGAUUAGCUAGUUGGUAAGGUAACGGCUUACCAAGGCGACGAUCAGUAGCCGACCUGAGAGGGUGACCGGCCACAUUGGGACUGAGACACGGCCCAAACUCCUACGGGAGGCAGCAGUGGGGAAUAUUGCACAAUGGGGGAAACCCUGAUGCAGCGACGCCGCGUGAGCGAAGAAGUAUUUCGGUAUGUAAAGCUCUAUCAGCAGGGAAGAAAAUGACGGUACCUGACUAAGAAGCACCGGCUAAAUACGUGCCAGCAGCCGCGGUAAUACGUAUGGUGCAAGCGUUAUCCGGAUUUACUGGGUGUAAAGGGAGCGUAGACGGAUGGGCAAGUCUGAUGUGAAAACCCGGGGCUCAACCCCGGGACUGCAUUGGAAACUGUUCAUCUAGAGUGCUGGAGAGGUAAGUGGAAUUCCUAGUGUAGCGGUGAAAUGCGUAGAUAUUAGGAGGAACACCAGUGGCGAAGGCGGCUUACUGGACAGUAACUGACGUUGAGGCUCGAAAGCGUGGGGAGCAAACAGGAUUAGAUACCCUGGUAGUCCACGCCGUAAACGAUGACUACUAGGUGUCGGGUGGCAAAGCCAUUCGGUGCCG
rnacentral:rRNA from 1 species